GAAUUCCCAGUAAGUGCGGGUCAUAAGCUUGCGUUGAUUAAGUCCCUGCCCUUUGUACACACCGCCCGUCGCUACUACCGAUUGGAUGGUUUAGUGAGGCCCUCGGAUCGGCCCCGCCGGGGUCGGCCCACGGCCCUGGCGGAGCGCUGAGAAGACGGUCGAACUUGACUAUCUAGAGGAAGUAAAAGUCGUAACAAGGUUUCCGUAGGUGAACCUGCGGAAGGAUCAUUA
rnacentral:rRNA from 1 species